UACGUAGGUGGCAAGCGUUGUCCGGAUUUAUUGGGUUUAAAGGGUGCGUAGGCGGUCUUAUAAGUCAGUGCUGAAAUAUCCCGGCUUAACCGGGAGGGUGGCAUUGAUACUGCAGGACUUGAGUAUAGUCGAGGUAGGCGGAAUUGACGGUGUAGCGGUGAAAUGCUUAGAUAUCGUCAAGAACACCGAUAGUGUAGACAGCUUACUAGGCUAUAACUGACGCUGAGGCACGAAAGUGUGGGGAUCAAACAGG
rnacentral:rRNA from 1 species